rnacentral:rRNA from 1 species
CGCGUAGGCGGACAUUUAAGUCGGAUGUGAAAUCCCUGGGCUUAACCUAGGAAUUGCAUUCGAUACUGGGUGUCUAGAGUAUGGCAGAGGUAAAUGGAAUUCCCGGUGUAGUGGUAAAAUAACGUAGAUAUCGGGAAGAAUACCAGUGGCGAAGGCGAUUUACUGGUCCAAUACUGACGCUGAGGCGCGAAAGCGUGGGGAGCAAACA